rnacentral:misc_RNA from 1 species
GCAUGUGAUUCUAUGGAGAACUAUGCUGCAAAGUGCAAGAAAUUGGUUUUCGAGUACGCCCCUAUUAUCAUUACCGAGGCAGAGCAGUUUCUGGAAACCACAGACAUAUGUACUUUGUUACAUGCCUGUGAUUCGGCCGUAGCUGGUAAUGGGGAAGCAGCAACAGUGUUAAAGGCUGAUUCGUAAUCAAGUGGAAUGAAAAAUGAACAUUAUUGAUGCUCUUCUUGUGUAAUUAUUUCAUUUCAGGUGUUUGUAUGAGUAUGAUAGGAUUUCUAUAGCAUAAUUGUGGUGUUGCUGUAAUUAUGUUGUAACUACAAU